UGAUGGAUGUUGAUCAUAUGUG
rnacentral:siRNA from 1 species